AUUUUGUCACCCACGUAUGAGGCCUACAUUUUAUGUACUCACUGCAUACAGCUUAAUGAAUUGGAUUCUUAUGGGGUUAGAAAGGAUAAAAAACAUCACCCCUGUUCUCAGGAAGCUUAAAACUGAGUUGAUACUAUAUGCCAUAUACAUGAGAAAAGAGACAAGAAAAUUCAGUCAGCUAUUUAAAUGUAGAAAUUGCCUUUCUUGGAUCACUGCAUAUGAGACACUGCCAGGCAGAUUAAGAAAAAAGGGAACUAGCUUCAAGGUGUGAGAACACAAGACGAGGAGAGUGUGUUUUCUGUGGGUGCUUCCACUAACAGCCUGCAUGCAAACCAUGGAGCUUCAGGGACUCUGGCCACCCCAGAUUCCCAUUUCUUUAGAGCAUGCAGGAAGAACCUUUCAAAAGGUUACAACCAGAGACCUGAAGGAAGCAAGGAAGAAAGCCACAUGGUUGUCAAAGAGAAGAGGAAAGGAGAUCACUAAGCUGGAUGACGUUUUCUGUUUCUUUGAAAACAGAGAAGAUGACAAGUUAGGGAGAGAUCAGAGGUCAUACUGUGAAGCACCUUUGGAUAAACGGCAGGGACUUUGGAUUUUCUUUUUGAAUAUAAGCAUAAUCCAUUGAAAGGUCUCAUGCAGGGAAGUGGCAAAACACUUUUAAAAUUUUUCAUCUUUUCUUUCUGAAGCAGAGUUCACUCUCCAUUUAUUUGUCUUCUUUGAUAUCUCUCAAUAGAAUGUUGCAGUUUUAGUAUUCUCCUAUUAAACAUUUGUUUAACUUUCUUGUUCUUCUAAAUAAUAA
rnacentral:lncRNA from 1 species